rnacentral:rRNA from 1 species
AGAAUCAACGCUGGCGGCGUGCCUAACACAUGCAAGUCGCACGAGAAAGGGUAGCAAUACCUGAGUACAGUGGCGCACGGGUGAGUAACACGUGAAUUAUCUACCUCCGAGUGGGGGAAUAACUGAGAGAAAUCUUAGCUAAUACCGCAUAACACUUACGAGUCAAAGCAGCAAUGCGCUUGGAGAGGAGUUCGCGGCAGAUUAGUUAGUUGGCGGGGUAAUGGCCCACCAAGACGAUGAUCUGUAUCCGGCCUGAGAGGGCGCACGGACACACUGGAACUGAAACACGGUCCAGACUCCUACGGGAGGCAGCAGUGGGGAAUUUUGCGCAAUGGGGGAAACCCUGACGCAGCAACGCCGCGUGGAGGAUGAAAUAUCUUGGUAUGUAAACUCCUUUCGAUGGGGAAGAUUAUGACGGUACCCAUAGAAGAAGCCCGGCUAACUUCGCGCCAGCAGCCGCGGUAA